GAAGGCAGAGACUAGGAAAUUAACAUUAAGGGAUGGAUGGUGCUUUGGGGAGGGUUUUUGUCCCCUUUACUAAGCAUCAGGGCUGAGCACUGCUCAGUAGUGUUGGACACUCCAGUGUUGAUCAACUGAUCCUUUCUGAUUUUUUUUUUUUGGUUCAGGCAAUUCAAAUGAGUGUCUCCAGAAUAGUGGCUUUGAAUACACCAUUUGCUUUCUGCCACCACUUGUGCUGAACUUUGAACUGCCACCAGAUUAUCCAUCCUCCUCCCCACCUUCAUUCACACUUAGUGGCAAAUGGCUGUCACCAACUCAG
rnacentral:lncRNA from 1 species